AAAAUUGAAGGUCUAAUCUGCCCAAUGAUAUAUUGAAUGGCCGCGGUAACUUGACCGUGCAAAGGUAGCAUAAUAAUUAGUCUUUUAAUUGAAGGCUUGAAUGAAAGAUUGGAUGAAAAAUAAACUUUAUUAAUAUAAAUUAUUUAACUUACUAUUUAAGUAAAAAUUCUUAAAUAUAUAAGUGGGACGAGAAGACCCUAUAGAGUUUUAUUUUUUUUUAUAUUAUAAAAUUAAAGAAUUAAUAUUUUUAUAAUAUAAAUGAAUUUUUUAUUGGGGUGAUAUUAAAAAUUUAUAAACUUUUAAUUAAUAUUUCAUUAAUAUAUGUAUAUUUGAUCCAAAAAAAAUUUUGAUUAUAAGAUUUAAUUACCUUAGGGAUAACAGCGUUAUUAAUUUGAAGAGCUCAAAUCGAUAAAUUAGUUUGCGACCUCGAUGUUGGAUUAAGAAUAAAUUUUGAAGUAGCAUUUAAAAUUUUGGGUCUGUUCGACCUUUAAAUUCUUACG
rnacentral:rRNA from 1 species